UACGUAGGGGCCUAGCGUUGUCCGGAUUUAUUGGGCGUAAAGAGCUCGUAGGCGGUUUGGUGAGUCGGGUGUGAAAUCUCCACGCUCAACGUGGAGGGGCCACCCGAUACUGCCAUGACUAGAGUCCGGUAGGGGAGUGUGGAAUUCCCGGUGUAGCGGUGAAAUGCGCAGAUAUCGGGAGGAACACCAGUAGCGAAGGCGGGUCUCUGGGCCGUAACUGACGCUGAGGAGCGAAAGCGUGGGGAGCGAACAGG
rnacentral:rRNA from 1 species